rnacentral:lncRNA from 1 species
UUUAUGUUUACCCAUUUAUUAUAAAGGAUAUUGACAAGGAUACAGAUUAACAGCCAGAAGGAAGAGAUGCAUAGGGCAAGAUAUGGGGGAGGGGUGCAGAGCUUCCAUGCCGUCUCUGGCUGCACCACCCUCCAGGAACCUUUACGUGUUCAAUAAUCCAGGAGCCCUCCAAACCCCUUAGUUUAGCAGUUUAGUUUAGUUUAGUAGUUUAGUUUUAGUUUAUUUUAGUUUAGUUUAGUUUAGUUUAGUUUAUCCCAGUGUAGGGGUGGGUUGCCCCUACACACCUGUGGGUGUUUCUCAAAGAGGGGGAUGUGUCAGGGUCACAAGACAAUUGUGGGGAGAGGGUCAGCAGACAAACA